GUCACCUCUGCUUCUCCCUCUAGUUAGGAAGAUGACUGUGGGGAGGACUGCGGGAGGCCCCGAGUGCGCCGAGUGGAGCCGUGAGGUGAGUGGAGAAAGAAGUAAGCAGGAUGCCUCAGCUAGGAAUACUCAAGAGUGGAAACUGUUUAGCGUUGCCGUGGAGACAGAGUCAGGGGCGUGUCACCAAAGGGCGUGGAAUUAAUUGGCUGUGCUUAGGCACUUAGAGAAUCAGUCUUGAGGGCUUGGGUCAUUUGUGUCUUGUACCAGGCUGUGAUAUCAGGGACCGUAUUAAUAACAAACUACGAAUUAACCUUGAAAAUCUUAAAAGCAAUCUUUAUCUUCAUAUAAUUAUCCAGAAAAGGCAAAUCUAGGGGGUGAGUCAUUGCCUGGGGGUGAGAAGGUGAGGAGAAAUAGG
rnacentral:lncRNA from 1 species